rnacentral:antisense_RNA from 1 species
UUUUUUAUAUUUUCUUUUAAUAUUUUUUACUUUAUAUGUUUGUGGCUGUUUUUAUUUGUCUUAUCGAAGUAAAUGGUGGCCACGAGAGGACUUGAACCUCCGACCACUACCA